GACGAACGCUGGCGGCAUGCCUAAUACAUGCAAGUCGAAGGAAUUGGCGCACGGGUGAGUAAUAUAUAGCUAAUCUGCCCCUUGCUGGAGGACAACAGUUAGAAAUGACUGCUAAUACUCCAUAGCAAGGGAUGAGACUAUAUCGUAUCAGCUAGUCGGUGGGGUAACGGCCUACCGAGGCUAUGACGCGUAACUGGUCUGCGAGGAUGAUCAGUCACAUUGGAACGGAGACACGGUCCAAACUCCUACGGGAGGGAGCAGUAGGGGAUAGUGCGCAAUGGGGGAAGCCCUGACGCAGCAACGCCGCGUGGAGGAUGACACUUUGCGGAGCGUAAACGCCUUUUGUUAGGGAAGCGGUACCUAACGAAUAAGCACCGGCUAACUCCGUGCCAGCAGCCGCGGUAAUUC
rnacentral:rRNA from 1 species